CUUUCCUUUGCUCAUAUAUUGAGCGUGGCAAAGCCCUGCCAGCCUUGAAGAUGAUCUGAAUAUAAAUAGAUUGCCUGCUUCAGCCAUGUUUUCAGAAGUCAAUUGAAGGCAUGCUGAGCAGUUGCAGAUGCAGAACCUGAGAAGUAAGUUGCUCUGGAUUUGAGAAGAAUCACUCUCGACGCAAGGCUUUUUGCUGCUGUCCGUGCAGACAACCAUACACACCGCUGACACAGCCAAGCUCCAUGUCUUGUGUCUAAAUGCCUGCAGGGUGAUUCCCAACCUGUUCUGUACCUGGAGCCUUCCUCAGACCUAACUACACCUGACACCCCACCACCCCAAUAAGCGUAGAGGUGUUUGGUAUUUUCCCUCUGAAGCACAAACUCUGCAGUAAAGGCAAGUUCAAGCUGCAGAAGAAUCAAAAUCAAAUCUCCAGUUGCCUUGAUGGAACACCAAAUCCCAUCUCCCACCUUCUGGGAGGGUGUUCUUGUCCUGAGGCUCCUACGGCUCUCAGCCUCUCCCUCCCGCUUGGUGUGGGACAUCUGCAUCUUACCUAAGCUAACCACAAUUUUGCAGCUCAGGAGACAGGGUACUGGCUCAUGAGGAAGACCUGAGCUCCAGUCCUUGCUCAAAAUAAAAGAUCAGUGCUUUGGCAACGUAUUUGCUAGCAAGGCUUUAAAGAAAGGCAGAGCACUGGGAUGGGGAGCCAGGUCAGCAAGUAAACUCCUG